UGGCGCGUAGUUCAGCGGUAGAACAUCCGGCUGUUAACCGGAAUGUCGUAGGUUCAAAUCCUGUUGCGCCAG
rnacentral:tRNA from 1 species